rnacentral:sRNA from 1 species
AAUGUACAAGAAAUGGCGCAUUAUUCUAGUCAAUAUAGUAUUAUGAAGACGAGGGUAAAAUAUCGUUAAAAGGCAUAUCUAUGAAACGUUUGGUGCUUGCUUCUUACGCCCAGUAAGGGGUGGGUGCUGAAUUUGAAGAGUUUAUGGACGAUCGUAACGGCAUACGGCAACCGUUCCAUUUAUUCGUGGAGACCUAAGCUUGUGAGCAAUUACGACUUAGGCGUGAACCUAUCUUGUGGCUAAAGCUAUGGAUAGAGUAGCCUGGCUUGAGUGAUAUUGGGGAAUAGAGACAGCUUGUUACAAGGUGUACAUCUUAGAAAUAAGCAUCGCUACUUGAAACUAAUAUUGCAAAAAAGCAUAAGUAAUAUUUCUGUUGUCGAGGAAAACUCCUAGGGUGUAAAUUGAUAUAGGAUUGCAGUGUGUUCUAAGUGGUUAUCAAGUAAUAGAAUAGGUGACUAUCUGUUUAAUUUCUUAAAAGGGAACUGCUUAAUUGGUAACGAUUAAGUGAGAUUAAGGGAAAUCCAACUUGACCUUAAGACGCAAAGUUUACUAUAUUAGUUGCCAUUUCCUAUUUUAU